rnacentral:lncRNA from 1 species
AGGCAAACCACGGCAAUGGUAAUAUUGUUAAUUUGAGUAGGGUUUUUCUGCAGAAUUCAAUUGUAUAUUCUUAUUGCAGAAACAGGGGAUUUAUACAUCACAAUGUACAGCCUUCCUAGUUGUAUUUGGAAAGGAAACAAUUACGAUCCCAUGACAAUCGGGAUUUACAUAAAUAGAAGAUAAACGUGACUAUUACAGCUAUAAUUUCCUAUUGUCUCUCGGUUUGUACAGCUCAUGCCAACACUCCUCCUCAAGUUGGUGUAGAAAUGUCUUUGAUACCCAGCUUGUCAAGUGAGCUGUGAAAGUUUUUGUUUGAAACGGCUUUUGUAAGCAUGUCCGCAAGUUGGUCCUCUGAUCUGACGAACGGAAAGCGAAUUACCUUUUCUUCAAGAUUCUGUUUAAUAAAAUGCCGGUCUAUCUCAAUAUGCUUCGUUCUGUCAUGUUGGAUUGGGUUCUGAGAUAUUUCUAUUGCGGCUUUAUUAUCACAAUAUAAAUUCAUUUCUGAAUUGGGUGCAAAUCCAAUUUCUGAGAGUAGGCGUCUGAGCCAUAAAAGCUCGCAAAGCCCCUUUGCCAUACCUCUAAACUCGGCUUCCGCACUUGAUAGAGCUACCACCUUUUGUUUCUUACUCCUCCACGUAACCAAGUUGCCUCCGACGAAUGUGAAGUAUCCUGAUGUGGAUUUUCUGUCGGCCAAGUUUCCUGCCCAGUCUGCAUCUGUAUAGCCUUCAACAUCUAAGUGAUCAUUCUUAGAGAACAUAAUCCCCUUUCCCGGAGCUGAUUUCAAGUAUCGAAGAAUUCGAACAACCGCAUCCAUGUGAUCUUUACUAGGGCAAUGCAUAAAUUGACUGACCACGCUCACCGCGUAUGAAAUAUCUGGACGAGUAUGAGAUAAAUAAAUUAGCUUACCCACCAGUCGUUGAUACCUCUCUUUGUCAGUUGGGGUUUGAUCAGGAUACUCCCCAAGUUUCUGAUUCUGAAUUGUUGGAGUAUUCGCCGGCUUGCAGUCGAGCAUUCCAACUUCGGCUAGUAGAUCAAGUACAUACUUUCGUUGUGAUAGAAAGAUGCCUUGUUUUGAUCUAGCCACUUCUAUUCCAAGAAAAUAUUUGAGUCCACCCAAGUUCUUCAUUUCAAAUUCCAUGGCCAAAUGUUUCUCCAGUCUAUAGAUUUCUUCUGAAUCAUCUCCUGUGAUUAUCAUGUCAUCGACAUAGAUUAUCAAGGCAGUUAUUUUCCCUUGUCGUCGUUUUAGGAAGAGAGUAUGAUCUGAGUUGCUUUGUUGAAAACCAUACUUUCUCAUAGCCAUGCUAAAGCGACCAAACCAUGCACGCGGUGAUUGUUUCAGUCCAUACAAUGCCCUUUGUAACCUGCAGACAAUUCCUGUGGAGGAUGACAUAUAGCCUGGUGGGAUAUCCAUGUAUACUUCUUCCUUAAGAUCUCCGUGAAGAAAGGCGUUCUUCACGUCAAAUUGGUGUAGGGGCCAAUCUAGAUUUGCAGCCACAGAUAACAGCACCCUCACGGUGUUUAGCUUCGCUACAGGGGAAAAUGUCUCCUGAUAGUCUAUGCCGUAUGUCUGAGUAUAUCCCUUAGCCACUAACCUCGCCUUGUAUCGUUCAAUGGAUCCAUCUGCUUUGUGUUUAAUUGAGAAUACCCACUUACACCCCACUGUUUUUUUUCCAGCCGGCAGUGGGACAAGAUCCCAAGUUCUAUUCCGAUUCAAAGCUUCCAUUUCCUCUUGUAUUGCUACUGACCAUUUGUGAUCUGCUAAGGCUUCAUGGACUCCGCAAGGAAUGUGAUCUGAAGACAGCUUUUGUGCAAAUUUUAUAAGAGGAUCAGACCAGCCUUUUGUUGUCAUAUGAUUAGAAAUUGGGUACUUGGAUUUCUUCCCUGCUUCUCCAGGAGAGUAGCGAGCUGGAGCUUUGCCACGGUUACUCCUGAAAGGUAAGUGAUAACCAGUUGCAAUAUCCAAAACAUUGCUGGAAGGUGAUGCAGAAGGUCUUACCUCAGGAAUAUUCUCAGGAGAAGGAUUGUCACUGUCGGGUACUUCCAAAAGAGGGGUUCUUCUACUAGGAGAUUCAUCGUCAGAGUCAAUAACCAUGAUGUCUUCAUACAGGCCAUUAUCUGCAACUGGUGAUGGUGUUCCUGUUGGUGUUCCCGUUAUUGCUUCUUCCUCUAUAUGUAUAGCAGCAUCCGCUUCUUCCUCUAUAUGUCUAUUUGUGUAACAGCUGCUUCUGUCUCCUCCUGUGAUGGCGCCACUGUCACCACGGUAGGGGCUGCUGUCACCAUGGUUUCCUCCUCCUGUGAUGGAGGAGCUGCUGUCACCACUGUUUCUUCAAUUUGUCCCGUCCACCACUUCUGCUCUUCAUCCCAAGUCUCCCUCUGAAGAGAAGAAGCUGAUACAUGUGAUGAAUAAAACUUGUCCGAUUCUACAAAUGUGACAUCCAUUGUUAUAUAUACCCGAUUUUUAUUCGGGUCAUAGCAGCGAUACCCUUUCUUGUUGGUACCAUACCCCAAAAAUAUGCACCGAACAGCACACGGUUCCAGCUUGGUCCUUUGAUUUUUAUGCAAAUGAACAAAGGCAACACAUCCAAAUAUACGUGGCUUAAUGAGUAGUAAAGAUGGUAGAGUGACAUGUUUUGACAAAACCUGUAAUGGGGUGUUGAAAUCCAAAACCUUAGAGGGCAUACGGUUCAUUAGAUACACAGCCGAAGCAAUAGCGUCAUCCCAAUGACGGCCGGGUGUAUUUGAUCCAAUCAACACGGCUCGUGCAGUUUCUAAGAUGUGUCGAUUCUUCCUUUCGGCUACUCCAUUUUGUUGUGGCGUCUGACUACACGAUGACUCAUGGAGGAGACCAGUUCUUUGGAAAUAUUCAUGAAAAUUGCGAUUCAUAUACUCUCCCCCAUUGUCCGUCCGAAGAAUACGGACCUUUGCUGAAUAUUGGUUCUGAAUCAUAGCAUGAAAUGCUCGAAAUACACCAAAUACUUCAUCCUUGCGUUUCAACAAGUAUAGCCACGUCAUCCGCGUACAAUCAUCUACAAAAGUCACAAACCAUUGUAUACCCGAGAUAGUUGUAAUAGGGGAAGGUCCCCAAACAUCAGAGUGAAUUAGAGUAAAUGGAAUAUCACUUUUAUUCAUGCUAGUUGGAAAAGGUACACGGUGACUCUUGGCCAAUAUGCAUGUUUCACAUCUGAAAUUUGAGUAACUCAAAGUUGAAAAUAACUGCGGAAAUAAAUGUUUCAUAUAGCUAAAUGAAGGGUGCCCCAACCGAGAGUGCCAUAACCAAAUCUGUUCUUCGCGUGCGCUAGAUGUGCGACUCAUGGUAUUGACUUUGCCGAAACUGAAGUCGUCCAUGUAGUAUAACCCCUCUCUUUUAGUACCACGCCCAAUGAUCUCCUUCGUGAGAAUAUCCUGAAAAAGACAAAAUGUUGGAUACAUUAGCACUAAGCAAUUGAGUUCUUCGGUGACUUGUCCCACUGAUAAUAAUUUACUGGAAAGAGAGGGUACUAAAAGAGUGUUAGCCAAUGAGAUUGAAGAUGAUAUAUCUACGGUUCCAGCUCCUGUAACCGGAUACUUAACCCCAUUGGCAUUGAAUAUAUUAUUUCGCCUUGGCUCUGUAAUUUCCACGAAAUCAUCUUGACAAAACGUCAUAUGAUCAGUAGCUCCUGAAUCCACUAUCCAGUCUUCAUUCUUGCCUGCGUUAGACACAAGUAAGGCACUGCUGUCAUUACUGGAAUUGUUACCUGGAUUACCGAGAGAGGCUGCCUUGUCCUCCUUUGAUUCAACAAGUGGGACGAGUGAAAGGGUGGCUUCUGGAUUUAUAGGGGCUGAAUUAACCAUGGCUGCUCUUCCAGUUCCACCAGCAGCUUCUUUUUGUUUUCUUGCCUUGAGUUCUGUCCACCAUUCGGGGUAGCCAUGUAUUUUAAAACAUGUCUCACGGGUGUGUUUCAAGUUCCCACAGUGAGAGCAUCCAUCGUUUCCUCCUUCUACAUGGCCCUUAGUUUUUGCAGGAUUAAAUUUCCCCCCAUGUGAAGAGGAGUUUCCAGUCUUGGCUACCUGCAAUGUAAAUUUGUUUUGUGAACCAGUUAUCAUACCUCUAGAGAUCAUUGCAGCAGCAUCUGGAAUAUUUCCUCUGUUGGACAGCAUCACGGCCUGCCUUAUGUCUUCCCUCCGGACAUGGGCAUACGCCUGUUCUACAGUUGGAAAUGGUUUCAGUUGCAACACAUCACUCCUGAUUUUAUCAAGCCUGUCAUCUAAUCCAUCAAGAAAGGUGUACACCCGAUCCUCUUGCAAGAGAGUGUUGUAUUUUUGUAUAUCAUGAACACAAUUCAUCGGGUUUGGACGACGAAAGUCAAUCUCCCUCCAUAAGCCUUGGAGAUCAUUGUAGUAUUUUUCAAUUGGUUCUCCCGAUUGUUUCAUCUUAUUUACUCGCCUCUUUAGAUCAUACACCUGAGAUGUAUCAGCCCCAUCAAAGUAAGUUACAGCAAUUGAAUCCCAUACCUGUUUAGCUGUAGGGAAUCGAAUAAAGUUGUUGACCAAGGAUGGGUUCAUUGAGCCAAUUAACCAUCCUUUUACCACUGAGUUUUCUGUCCUCCACCUCCUAAACGAAGGGUCAUUCGGUUCUGGUUGUGGAAGAUCACCAUUUAUAUAUCCCAAUUUGUCUUUUCCUGAGAUGAACAUCUCAACAAUUUGGGACCAUAAAGCAUAAUUGGUACCAUCGAGUUUGAUACCAAUCUGUGUUGCAGUAAUAUCAUGCAUUACUGUUGGAGUCUGUGUUUGAUUCUGGUUUAUGGCUUGAGUCAUUCUUGCCAUAAGGUCUUCAAGAUUUGCAGCCAUAUUUGGUUGCUCUAGUUCUGCUGGUGCUCCUUCCAUUCCUUCUAUUCCCUCCAUUAUCGUAUGCUGCUAUUGGUUCCAGCAACUUUCGUUGUAGCAAUAGAUCAAUUUAAGGAUCUAUGCUCUGAUACCAUGUUAAUUUGAGUAGGGUUUUUCUGCAGAAUUCAAUUGUAUAUUCUUAUUGCAGAAACAGGGGAUUUAUACAUCACAAUGUACAGCCUUCCUAGUUGUAUUUGGAAAGGAAACAAUUACGAUCCCAUGACAAUCGGGAUUUACAUAAAUAGAAGAUAAACGUGACUAUUACAGCUAUAAUUUCCUAUUGUCUCUCGGUUUGUACAGCUCAUGCCAACAC